rnacentral:rRNA from 1 species
AACGAACGCUGGCGGCAUGCCUAACACAUGCAAGUCGAACGAGACCUUCGGGUCUAGUGGCGCACGGGUGCGUAACGCGUGGGAACCUGCCCUUAGGUUCGGAAUAACUCCCCGACAGGGGUGCUAAUACCGGAUAAUGUCUUCGGACCACAGAUUUAUCGCCUUUGGAUGGGCCCGCGUUGGAUUAGCUAGUUGGUAGGGUAAAAGCCUACCAAGGCGACGAUCCAUAGCUGGUCUGAGAGGAUGAUCAGCCACACUGGGACUGAGACACGGCCCAGACUCCUACGGGAGGCAGCAGUGGGGAAUAUUGGACAAUGGGCGAAAGCCUGAUCCAGCAAUGCCGCGUGAGUGAUGAAGGCCUUAGGGUUGUAAAGCUCUUUUACCCGGGAUGAUAAUGACAGUACCGGGAGAAUAAGCUCCGGCUAACUCCGUG